rnacentral:rRNA from 1 species
GCGCGCGGUAAUUCCACCUCCAAUAGCGAAUUAAGUUGCUGCAGUUAAAAAGCUCGUAAUUGAACCUUGGGUCUGGCUGGCCGGUCCGCCUCACCGCCAGUACUGGUCCGGCAGGACCUUUCCUUCUGGGGAACCUCAUGGCCUUCACUGGCUGAGGGGGGAACCAAGAAUUUUACUGUGAAAAAAUUAAAGUGUUCAAAGCAGGCCUUUGCUCGAAUACAUUAGCAUGGAAUAAUAAAAUAAGACGUGCGGUUCUAUUUUGUUGGUUUCUAGGACCGCCGUAAUGAUUAAUAGGGAUAGUCGGGGGCGUCAGUAUUCAGCUGUCAAAGGUGAAAUUCUUGGAUUUGCUGAAGACUAACUACUGCGAAAGCAUUCGCCAAGGAUGUUUUCAUUAAUCAGGGAACGAAAGUUAGGGGAUCGAAGACGAUCAGAUACCGUCGUAGUCUUAACCAUAAACUAUGCCGACCAGGGAUCGGGCGGUGUUUCUAUGAUGACCCGCUCGGCACCUUACGAGAAAUCAAAGUUUUUGGGUUCUGGGGGGAGUAUGGUCGCAAGGCUGAAACUUAAAGAAAUUGACGGAAGGGCACCACAAGGCGUGGAGCCUGCGGCUUAAUUUGACUCAACACGGGGAAACUCACCAGGUCCAGACAAAAUAAGGAUUGACAGAUUGAGAGCUCUUUCUUGAUCUUUUGGAUGGUGGUGCAUGGCCGUUCUUAGUUGGUGGAGUGAUUUGUCUGCUUAAUUGCGAUAACGAACGAGACCUCGGCCCUUAAAUAGCCCGGUCCGCAUUUGCGGGCCGCUGGCUUCUUAGGGGACUAUCGCUCAAGCCGAAGAAAUGCCGGAAAGUAACACGUCAGAAGUC